AGCUAGCUGAAUAGGUUAGCAGGAUUUUAUGUUCUCCAUUUUGACAAAUACAAGGAGACAUGAUCCCAGCUUUGCAUUACUAAUCAGAAAACUUCUGUUUUCAAGUCUUCUAGCACUUGAUUAGUCACAUUUCCUUAAAUUUUUUUUCUUCUUCUCCACAACAUAAAGCAACAGGCGAGUUCUCUUUCAAAAAUCAUUCCCACUUCAGAAGCGGGGCCCAAAUCGUGACUGGGCUGACCUUGCUGUGCUUGGGAGUAAUACUGCUUGCAGCACUGAAAGGCUCCCGCAGGUUAAUUUAGGCCCCUGCCGAAACUCUUCUGAUUUGUACCGACGUUCAAUGGUUUCCUGGAGGCAAACUCACUUGCUAAUAGGCAGGAAUUAUUCCUCAUUUUAGGAGCAACAGUCUGCCCACACCAUCUUAUAAAGCACAGCCCUCCACAUUGCUCUGGAAGACAGACGUUGCUAAAGAAUCCAAAGGCAAACUGGAAGAAUAACAACUGCAUUGCAGGCAACAGACUGACCAGUCUGGGUGAACUCGCUGAAGCUGGAAUUUGUUGGGCUUCUUUACGAAUCACUAGAUGCAGAGAGCCCUGCGUGUACAUGGGGGAGAUUUUAUUCAUUUAUUCAUGAGAGACACACACAGAGAGAGGCAGAGACACAGGCAGAGGAAGAAGCAGGCUCCAUGCAGGGAGCCUGACAAGGGACUCGAUCCUGGGUCUCCAGGAUCACGCCCUGGGCUGAAGGCGGCUGAGCCACCCGGGCCGCCCAAUACUUGUAUAUUUGCAUAAAUGUCUGUUUCAACUAGAGAUUUUUGCAUUUCACUGUGCUUUUGUAAAGAGAAGAGGAACCUGGCAAUAUAGGUAUUAUACAAGGAAUUGUGCAAAGAUUACAAUUUAUUUUGUAGGAGUGUGAACAUCCUCCAUUACAUAUAUUCUAAGCAAGAGAAACAUUUCAUGUCUGACUUUAUGGAACUGAGCUCUGUGCAAGACCAGAUGACCCAGACAUUCUUCUCGUUGGCCAGGACACACACAGAUGAAAGAACUGAGACCCAAAGAAGUCAGAUGACUAACACAGAGCAUUACUGUGAUUUCACUUCUAAAGCCUCACCAGUGCCGAUGUGCCUUUAGGAAGGAACAAAGGAUUGGGACUCAAGAGCUUUUGCCUCUGGUCCAGCGUUUUGAAGCUUAUCCCUAAACCCACAGUUUCUGACUGCAGACUGAAUUGAUAGUUCUGGAGGCCAAAUUCCCACAAUUAAGGUGUUGGCAGGGCCACACUCUCUCCAGAAGCUCCAGUGGAGAAUCUCCUCCUUGUUCUUCCAGUUUCUGAUGGUUUCCGAAAGAACUGCUCUUCAUUGAAGUAAACUGUGUAGCUCAAGGUUCUGCCCCCUGUGGAAGGGUAUAAAGUCAGCCCUGAAAGGCUAUACAACUUUGAUCAUCCUGUGGAAUUAGCUGAGGCACCUGUUUACUACUUCUCCACAGAUCAAGUUCUCCCUCUGUCCAAUCUUAUUUAUAGCAUGUUAAUCAGCAACAGGUGCCAACCCCCAUGUUGAGAAGAAAGGCAGGCCUCAGGGGCGUUUGGAUGGAGGAUUCUUGGAGAUAACCUCUCUUCCUGAGUUUUAUAAAAGAGGAAGAGGCUCAGGGAAGAGAUUAUGCUAUGUCUCCUGUACCAUGUCGUAGUAGACCCUCUUGGAACAUAGUAGACACCUGACAAAUACUUACUGAAAAAUACAGUAAGUUCCGGAAGAGCUCCUGCUUCUUGUAUUAUUGCUCACUUGUAUAUUUCCAGCCCCCAAAUCAUUUCUGGAAUGUUAUAAGGCACUUAAUAAAUAUUUAUGGCAACAAUGAAAUAGUAGAACCAAGACUGAAACCAGGAUUAUCUAAUUCCAUAACCGAGCAUGUAACUAUUAUUCUGUAGUGGUUAGUUGCAUGAGGUCAGAAAAAAUUAAUUGAAUCCUAAUCAUAAGGGAUCUUUAAUUCCAUAUUCAACAACUUAAAUUGUAAUAUACAGACAACUGAUGAUUUUGAAGUGGAGGAAGCAACUGAAUCACAGCUAUGCUUUAGAUCAAAAGUUCUCUUUACCACCAGUUGGAUUAGAUUAAUUAUAGAGAAGGAGCCACAACAGGGGCUGGGAGAAGAGUUAACAUAUUAUUAUAAGAGCCAGAUAAUAGAUCAAUGGGGCAUCAGAAUCCAAAAAGACGGUGAUGAUUCCACAGAUAUUGGAGAGACCUAAUACACAGAAUGGUGGAGUGAGAGGUAGAAAAGUACAGAAAUGAAAGAUAAGAAUGAGGUUCUAAGCUUAUCUGAAUAGCAUGCUAGAGAUGCCAAUAAUUGAAAUUGGGAAGACAGAGGUUUUAUUGUUUUGUUUUUUAAAUAUUUAAUUUAUUUAUUCAUGAGGGACACAGAGAGAAAG